CCUACGGGUGGCAGCAGUGGGGGAUAUUGCACAAUGGGGGAAACCCUGAACCAGCAACGCCGCGUGAGGGAAGAAGGAUCUCGGUUUGUAAACCUCUGUCAGCUGUGAAGAAAAUGACGGUACCUGACGAGGAAGCCCCGGCUAACUACGUGCCAGCAGCCGCGGUAAUACGUAGGGGGCAAGCGUUGUCCGGAUUUACUGGGUGUAAAGGGUGCGUAGGCGGCACUGCAAGUCAGAAGUGAAAUCCCUGGGCUUAACCCGGGAACUGCUUUUGAAACUGUGGGGCUUGAGUGCAGGAGAGGCAAGCGGAAUUCCCGGUGUAGCGGUGAAAUGCGUAGAGAUCGGGAGGAACACCAGUGGCGAAGGCGGCCUGCUGGGCUUUAACUGACGCUGAGGCACGAAAGCGUGGGGAGCAAACAGGAUUAGAUACCCGUGUAGUC
rnacentral:rRNA from 1 species